GACGAACGCUGGCGGCGUGCUUAACACAUGCAAGUCGAACGGAAAGGCCCUGCUUUUGUGGGGUGCUCGAGUGGCGAACGGGUGAGUAACACGUGAGUAACCUGCCCUUGACUUUGGGAUAACUUCAGGAAACUGGGGCUAAUACCGGAUAGGAGCUCCUGCUGCAUGGUGGGGGUUGGAAAGUUUCGGCGGUUGGGGAUGGACUCGCAGCUUAUCAGCUUGUUGGUGGGGUAGUGGCUUACCAAGGUUUUGACGGGUAGGCCGCCUGAGAGGGUGACCGGCCACAGUGGGACUGAGAUACGGCCCAGACUCCUACGGGAGGCAGCAGUGGGGAAUAUUGCACAAUGGGCGGAAGCCUGAUGCAGCAACGCCGCGUGCGGGAUGACGGCCUUCGGGUUGUAAACCGCUUUCGCCUGUGACGAAGCGUGAGUGACGGUAAUGGGUAAAGAAGCACCGGCUAACUACGUG
rnacentral:rRNA from 1 species